AACCUCCGCAAUGUGAGAAAUCGCGACGGGGGGAUCCCAAGUGCCAUUCUUAACGGGAUGGCUUUUCAUUAGUGUAAAGAGCUUUUGGAAUAAGAGCUGGGCAAGACCGGUGCCAGCCGCCGCGGUAACACCGGCAGCUCUAGUGGUAACAAUUUUUAUUGGGCCUAAAGCGUCCGUAGCCGGUUUAAUAAGUCUCUGGUGAAAUCCUGUAGCUUAACUGUGGGAACUGCUGGAGAUACUAUUAGACUUGAGACCGGGAGAGGUUAGAGGUACUCCCAGGGUAGAGGUGAAAUUCUGUAAUCCUGGGAGGACCGCCUGUUGCGAAGGCGUCUAACUGGAACGGUUCUGACGGUGAGGGACGAAAGUUAGGGGCGCGAACCGGAUUAGAUACCCGGGUAGUCCUAACUGUAAACGAUGCGGACUUGGUGUUGGGGUGGCUUUGAGCUGCUCCAGUGCCGAAGGGAAGCUGUUAAGUCCGCCGCCUGGGAAGUACGGUCGCAAGACUGAAACUUAAAGGAAUU
rnacentral:rRNA from 1 species